AAAUUAGCUAUCUAGAAAACUGUAAGUUAGAGAGAAUGCAAAGUAAAAAGAUUGAGAUAGUUCAUAUGGAACUCAUUAGACCUAUUACUCCCACUCCCAAUCACUUAAGAUGCUUCAAAUUAUCUUAUUUGGAUCAAAUGACGUUUUCCACUUCUGUUCCUUUAGCUCUAUUUUAUCCAUCUCCAUCAUCAGCUUUCUCUUAUUUGGAUCAAAUGGCAUUUUCCACUUCUGUUCCUUUAGCUCUAUUUUAUCCAUCUCCAUCCUCAGCUGGUGAUGAUCAAUCCUAUUCAUAUGAGCAAUCAAGGACAAUCAAUUCGUCAAGAUUACUUGUUUUGAAGAAAUCUUUGUCUGAAACUCUAGCUCGCUUUUACCCUUUUGCAGGACGAGUUGAAGAAAACUCAAUUGAAUGCAAUGACAAUGGUGUACCCUUCUACGAGGCUUUUGCCCAUAAAUAUCGGCUGGAAAACGUUGUUAGAAAGCCCAUUGAGGAUGUAGAUUUUCUUCCCCAUGUUGAUCAAAAGUGGUCAUGGUUCAAUCAUGAAACUUUUCCACUACUUGUUCAAGUCACCUUUUUCGAGUGCGCAGGUAUUGUUGAACAUUUACCGCUAGAGAGAGCAUAAUAUUUACAUAAUUAUGUCUAAAACAUGUUUCUGACCAUGUGUGCAUCUAAUUCUUUUUUAUUGACCAAGCACUUGCCUAGAAGAGUAUACUGGGUAGUUGUUGUUGCAGGACGAGUUGAAGAAAACUCAAUUGAAUGCAAUGACAAUGGUGUCUAAAACAUGUUUUGUGAUCAUGUGUGCAUCUAAUUCUUUUUAAUUGACCAAGCACUUGCCUAGAGAUCCUUUUAUAGUGGAUGGUGAUGACACUUGUGACCAAGACAUUUGUCUACUCCAAAUUAUAUUGAAUUGUGUGAAAGAUUGAUAAAAUUCUACCAUGCACUAACGGUAAAAAAUAUAUUGAUAAAAAUGUUGCGGCUAUUGAUUUAUGUGAUUCUCACAAAAUCGCUAAAUUGUAUCUAAAUCAUUAAUUAUGUCUAAAUUAUGUUCCUAAUCACGUGCGUAACUGAUUCUUUAUUUCAAGUGCCUGCAGAUCGUUAUAUAGCAGAUCGUUAUAUAGUGGGUGUGGUAACACUUGAAAGAAACCAAAACUUCUGCCUAAUUUAUUCGAACGAUAUUGAAAUGUGUGAUUAUUUUAUCUUGAAACUAAAGUAGUUGAAAAGAGCAUGAUAUUAUUUAGAGUUUAAGUUCUACCAUGCUCUUAUGGUAAAAAUUAUAAUGAUAAACAUUGCUCCCUCUAGUCCAAUAUAAAUAAUUUUUUGGUCUUUUUUGUGGUCCAGAAUAAGUGAUUUUUUCAGAUUUCAAGAAUAAAUUAAUUAUUUUUUCCUACAUUAUUCUUGGAAUAAAUAAUGUUAGAAUAUGUGUUAGGAGUGUUUAUGUAAGAUAGUAAAGGUAAUAUGGUCAAUUGUAUUACUAAUUAAUACUAAAUUAAUCGGUAUAAAAAUAUCCAAAAAAAUUAUUUAUUUUGGACCGAAGGGAGUCAUUAAUAAUAUGAUAAAAAUAGUAACUAACUUACUAUCAAAGGAUAAAAUUUAUUGAUAGUGUUAAAAAAGUCAUUAUCCUUGUAUUUAAUUUAUUAUGUCCUUCAAUAGGUAUGGCAAUUGGUGUAUGUGCUUCUCACAAAAUCGCUGACAUUGCCACGUUGUCAACCCUCAUCAAUGCGUGGGCAGUCAUUGCUCGAACCAACCCUAGUAGUUCAUGCGUGGACAUUCCAGAAUUCGUUGCUGCUUCAAAAUUUUUACCAGAACCUAUUCCUCAUGUUUCUCCCAACUGGUCUAAAAUAGUUGAAUCCAUAGUCUCCGUUGAUAAUCAACAUGGAACUAAAUUUUUUUCCUUUGAUGCAUCUACUAUAGCGUCACUCAAGGCUAACGUCGUGAGCGACGACGCUGUGCCAAAGCCCACACGCGUCGAAGUAGUGAUUUUUCCUUUGAUGAAUCUACCAUAGCGUCACUCAAGGCUAACGUCGUGAGCGACGACACUGUGCCAAAGCCCACACGCGUCGAGGUAGUGUCCACCAUGAUGUGGAAGUGUUUCAUGACAAUAUUAAAAAAAACAAGAACAUCGUCGCAGUUGUUGUACAAUGUCAAUAUACGAAAGCGGCUUGUCCCCCCCUUGCCUAAUCACUGUGUGGGAAACAGUGUUGCAACGAUCACAACAUACAAAGGCGAGGACGAUGGUUGUGAUUUAUCCACCCUUGUUUCUUGUAUUAGAAAAGGAAUUUCAGAAUUGUGUUCCAAAUUUGUGGAUAAAUCGAGACAAGA
rnacentral:lncRNA from 1 species